rnacentral:rRNA from 1 species
CCUACGGGUGGCAGCAGUGAGGAAUAUUGGUCAAUGCACGCAAGCCUGAACCAGCCAUGCCGCGUGCAGGAUGACGGCCCUACGGGUUGUAAACUGCUUCUAUACGGGAGUAAAGGCCGAUACGUGUCUCUGUUUGUAUGUACUGUACGAAUAAGGAUCGGCUAACUCCGUGCCAGCAGCCGCGGUAAUACGGAGGAUCCGAGCGUUAUCCGGAUUUAUUGGGUUUAAAGGGAGCGUAGAGGGGUUGGUAAGUCAGUUGUCAAAUUUAGGGGCUCAACCCUAAAAUUGCCAGUGAUACUGGAAGACUAGAGUAUAGUUGAGGUAGGCGGAAUUCGUGGUGUAGCGGUGAAAUGCUUAGAGAUCACGAAGAAUACCGAUAGCGAAGGCAGCCUACUAAACUGAAACUGACGUUGAUGCGCGAAAGCGUGGGUAGCAAACAGGAUUAGAUACCCUUGUAGUC